UUUGCAUUCUGUUGCUUUUAAGAUUUUCUCUGUCUUUGCUUCUCUGCAGUUCACUAUACUAUUUCUAGGGCCGGAUUUCUUGUUAUUUACACUUUUUGUGAUUUGUUGGGAUUCUUGCAUCUGGAUGAUCACUUCUAGAAAAUUCUCAGCCAUUUCCUCUUCAAAUAAUAUCUCUCUCAUACUCUGGUCUUCUGAAACUAUGAUAAAAUGUAUAUUUGACUUUGUCACCUUUCUCAGUCUAUCUUCCAGGUAUUUUUACCUUUCUUCUGUAUUUUCUAGUUUUUUUUCCCGUUCUCUGCUGCAUUCUGCUGUAUUUUCUUUUCAUCUGUCUUCCACUUCAUUUGUUAUUUUGCAGUGUCCACUCUGAUACCACGUCCAUCCAUCCAUUAAGUUUUUAGUUUUGGUUAUUGUACUUUUCAUUUCUAGGGUUCCAUUUAACUUCCCUCUGCUAUGUUCCUUUUUUUUUUUUUUUUUUGGCUGUGCUGCAGCAUGUGGGAUCUUAGUUCCCAGACCAGGGAUCAAACCUGUGCCCCCUGCAGUGGAAGCAUGGAGUCUUAACCACUGGACUGCCAGGGAAGUCCCUAUGUUAACUUCUUUUUUAUUUUAAGAUUUUUUUUUUUAUAUGGACCAUUUUUUAAAGUCUUUAUUGAAUUUGUUACAAUGUUGCUUCUGUUUUAUGUUUUGUUUUUUUGGCCGUGAGGCAUGUGGGAUCUUAGCUCCCCAACCAGGGAUCAAACCUGCACCCCCUGCAUUGGAAGGUGAAGUCUCAACCACUGGACUGCCAGGGAAGUCCCCCUAUGUUCACUUUUAAUAAUUCCUGUGUCCUGCAGAUUUUUGGCUGUUUUUCUUUAAGCAAAGUAAGCAUGAAUGUGUUCUUUUGAUUUAAUUUAUUUAUUUAUUUUUGGCUGCGUCAGAUCUUAGCUGUGGCACACGGGAUCUUUCGUUGCAGUGCACGAGCUUCUCUCUAAUUGUGGUGUAUGGGUAUCCUCUUCUCUAGUUGUGGCGCACAGGCUCCAGGGCAUGUGGGCUCUGUAGUUGUGGCGCUCGGGAUCCAGAGACCAUGGGCUCUGUAGUUUGCAGCAUGCAGGCUCUUUAGUUGAGGCAUGGAAGCUUAGUAGUGCGGCGUGCAGGCUUAGUUGCCCCACAGCAUGUGGGACCUUAGUUCCCUGACCAGGGAUCCAACCCGCGUCCACUGCAUUGGAAGGCGGAUUCUUUACCACUGGACCACCAAGGAAGUCCCAGUAUGAAUGUUUUAUAUCUAAUACUUCCCAUAUGUGAAGUCUGUAUGGAUCUGUAAUGUGUGUUUCUGUAGGCUCUCACUCAUGGUACCUUGUUUUCUUAUGUACUUGGUUGUCUUCUACUGUGUGCUGCUUUGAAAAAUAAUUGUGUGGUUCUCCUAUGACGUAAAAUGAAGGUCCCUUCCCCCCAGACAGGAUUUACAUUUAUUUCUGCUUGGUGCUUAGGAGUACUGUCAGUGACUUUAAAUUCAUGCCUUGAGGUUUCAUAGGUCACCACUAGGAUAGAGUUUGGGCUGCAGAUAUUUUCCUGGUUCUGCUCAGCACCAAGGCAAUGCUGCCUGCAGUUCUUUUGAGUUUGGGGGAAGGUUUGCUUGUACCCUGUGGUGUUAGCCCUUUAGGGGUCACAGCUUAAUGUCCUUUGAGACUUCCCACUUUUGGUGGGCCCUGGAUUUGAGUUUGCCUUUUUUACUCUGUGAGCCCUCAAAACCCCUGCUUGCUUUUACAGCUUAGUUUAUUUGGAUAGGUAGAUGCCACUAGGAGAAAAGUUGACCUCUCCUAGUGGGUAUUCUGAUGAUCUCUCUUUCUUUCUCUUAGAUUUUUGCCUGGAAAUUCUGGACCACCUUAUAGUUCUUUGAUGCUUCUGUAAGGAUUUUUUAAAAAUUUGGUGAGUGGCCGAGAUGGUGGAAUAAGAAGACCCUGAGCUCAUCUCCUUCCAUGGGCACACCAAAACUACAACUAUUUAUACACAGCAACUAUUGAUGAGAAUGACAUGAAGACUAGCAGAAAAGAUCUUCUGCAACUAAAGAUAAAAUGAAGGAACCAUGAGACAAGUAGGAAGGGUGGAGACACAGUAUAGUCAAGACCUAUACCCCCAGAAAAGACACAUGCACCCCAAUGUUCACUGCAGCAUUAUUUACAAUAGCCAAGACAUGGAAGCAACCCAAGUGCCCAUCAGUAGAUGAAUGGAUAAAGAUGUGGAACAUAGCAAUGGAACAUUACUCAGCCAUGAUGAAAUUUUGCCCUUUAUGACAACAUGGAUGGACCUGCACUUGAAUAUUUCACUGGGCAGAAAAUGUGUAUUGGACGUCGUUCCUUGCUGGCUCAUAGAUAUAACCUUGGGUUUUCUGAAGGCUGCAUAAUACUCCAUGGUAAGAAUGUUCUUAGUUUUAUUUAACAGCUAGCUUGUUUAUUGAUGGGCAUACAGGUUAUUUCCAAUCUUUUGCUAACAAUAGUGCAGCAGGAUUUUAUGUUUGGCUUUGUAAACGUGGGGGGAUUUCACCAAAGUGAAGUGCUUGAUCAAAGGGUAUGGAUGUUUAAAAAUGUCAUAGAUAUUGUCAGAUUGCCCUCUAGAGAUUGGGCCAAUUUAUAUUUUCACCAUCAGCAUGAGCUGUUUCCUAAUGCCAGCUGCAAAGGAGAGAUUAAACUUUUAUCUUUGUUAGUAUGUUUAGAGAAUAUGCUCUUUGUUAUAUGCAUAUCUAUUUUACUAACUCCAGAGAGGUGUAUGCUAUUCCAAAAAUUUUACAUUUCUAUGUAGUCAGUUUAUCACUCUCCUGGGAUUUUGUGUCAUGCUUAGAAAGUCUUCUCAGCUUCCAUGUUUUCUCCUGGUACUUUUAUGCUUAAAAAAAAAAAAAAAAACAGAUUUGCAAAAGGCAUAAUGAACCCCUACAUACAUGGUACCCAAGCAUUACUUACAGAAGUGAAACUCUGCUCUCCCUCCCUCUUGAACUAACCACUAUCCACCUACUCACUUCCUAUCCCUGUGGCUGGUGUCUGCGAACUUGUUACUUAUGUUUGCUCCUAGUCCACAGAGGUGAGGAGCUUGCACUGUGAAUCCACCACAUGGCUGUUUAGCUGUGAGCUGGACUUUCUCAUCAAGGAAGCUAGUGCACAUGCCUUAGCGCAGACAGGCACUGGCCCUAGGGCCAGGUUAAAGAGUAUGAUAUGGUCAUGGAGUUCCCUGGCUGUGCAGUGGUUAAGACUCUGCACUUCCACUGCAGGGGGCACACCACAGGUUGGACCCCUGGUCAGGGAACUAGAUCCUGCAUGCUGUGCAGUGCAGCCAAGAAAAAAAAAAAAAAAAAAAAAAGACUAUGAUAUGGUUUUAUUUUGCAUAUUGUAAACUUGAUAUGCACUGCACUUGGUGGCACUGUGCAGGGAGGUUUAUCUGAUGCCUGGUUUGUUUAUUCAUUUUCACUGAUACAGAGUGAUCUCAACAUGCCUUAAAUAUAUUUACCCAUUUUCCUGUUGUUGGUCAUUUAGGUUGGUGCUUUUCUUUUGCAAACAUCCUGGUAUGGCUCUUCCAGCACUUGUGAGGAAUUCCCUAAGGCAUUUUCCCUUCUCUUGUCUGACUAUAGUGACUCUCCAGAACAGUGCUAAGUUGUGGGCAAUAGUGGACGGAAACCCUGACGACAAAUCAAAGACGUGCUGCCAAGAGGAACCUCAAGCACUAACUGGCAGCCGUCUGGAGAUGCCAGGCAGGAAGAGAUGAUGUGUAGCAGAACCCAAUUCCAAAGAGAUCUAAGCUCCAAGGCUGGGAGGCAGCAGGUACUGGGAAUAGGUCUGGAGGACCCACCGCAGAUCUCCUGGCUACACCACCCUGCACUGCACGAAGAGGAUGUUCACCCUGGCGCAGAGGGGCAGGCAUGUUUGCAGGGUGGCUGUCUGUGGGGGUGGCCCAGACGGAGACUGUGGGGCUGGACCUGCUUCCUUCUUAGGUACCUUCUGCUCCUGCUCGGCAUCACAGUCCCCUCCACCCGUCUCUUCCAGCUUCUGCACUUCCCAUUUCUGAGCUUCCUUAGCUCGCUUCUUGGCGCCAUGCUUCUUCUCUUCCUCUCGUUCCACUUGUAUGUGCCGCUGCGUGUUACUCUGACCUUCGUGUGUUGUAACAUCUUGUUUGCACACUGCUUACGCUGCUUCUCAUCUAAGCAACCACUCACCACUCUGUCUAGGACAAAGGCUGAAUCUGUCCUGCAGUAAACUGUCAGUGGAUUCUGUGUCCUCACACACUUGGUACAGCUGGACCUGAGUAAAACCACCUGAAACAGAGGCUGGCAGACACUGGCCAUCUGGUCAGCCUCCAGCACCUGGGUCUCCUCAACAGACUGGUCCAUCCUGCCUGCCACUUUGUUCAGCCCAAGAAACCCAGGCUCUGGUGCUCUGACAGGCAGGGGGAAGGCAGCUGAGGAGCCACAGAUUUGUCUAGUGUCUAGGGCAGACACGCCUGCACCCUGCAACACUGCCACCUCAGAGCUUUGAAUGUCAAGCUAGCCUUGUAGUUGUGGUAAUUCUGCUCAAAUAUAACACAUCAAAGUUUUGAUAUAUUACUAGACUCAAUCUGCUAAUGUUGUGCUGAGAAUCUCUACUUCUAUUGAUGAAUUAUGAAGAAUACUAGCUUGUAACUUCCUUUUCUUGUCGCAUCCAUGUCAGGUUUUGGUAUCACGGUUAUGCUGGCCUCAUCAAAUGAGUUGGUAAGGGUUUCAUUUUCUGCCCUUUGUUUUUUUUGUGGCCGUGCUGCACAGCUUGCAGUGAAAGCACCAAGUCCUAACCACUGGACUGCCAGGGAACUCCCCCAAACUGGUAUUUCUCUACCGUUAUACAGAACUGGAAUUUUUGUGGGGUAGAUUUUUAAUUAUAGAUUCAAUUACUAUAACAGACACAGGAUUAUUCCAUUUUUGUGUCAGCUUAGAAAGCUGUGUUACUGAAAGGACUUGAUAUCUUGUCUUUGCUAUUUCCCUUCUACUUGUAUUUAAUAUGCUGGUUUCUACUUUCUUCAGAUGGAAGCUUAUUUAUCUUUUUGUUACCAAUUUCUAGUUUAAUUCUUUCACGGUCAGCAACCGGCUGUAUUUCAAUCCUUUGUAAUUUGUUGAGUCUUGCUUCAUGGACCAGCAAUAUGGUCUAUUCUAGUGAAUGUUCCUUAUGCAUUUGAAAAGCAUAUUAGAAGUAGCACAAUAGGGACUUCCCUGGUGGCGCAGUGGUUAAGAAUCCACCUGCUAAAGCAGGGAACACUGGUUUGAGCCCUGGUCUGGGAAGAUUCCACAUGCCAUGGAGCAACUAAGCCCGUAGGCCACAACUACUGAGCCCGCGUGCCUAGAGCCCGUGCUCCGCAACAAGUGAAGCCACCUCAAUGAGAAGCCCGUGCACCACAACAAAGAAUAGCCCCCACACAGCCAAAAAUUGAUUAAAAAAAAAAAUAAAUUUUUGAAAAGAAAUAGCACAACAGAAAUAAGGGUUGGAUUGAGUAUAUUUACAGUGUUGUUCCAUAUCCUGAUUUUUCAACUGCUUGUUCUGUCAAUUUUUGAGAUAGCUGUGUUAAAAUCUCCAACUCUCAUUGUGAAUUCAUCUACUUUCCCUUUUAUUUCUGUCCACUUUUGCUUCAUGUACUUUUUAAAAAUUUUAUUUAUUUAUCUUAUCUUUGGCUGUGUUGGGUCUCUGUUGCUGUGCUUUCUCUAGUUGUGGCGAGCUCUUCAUUGCGGUGCAUGAGCUUCUCACUGCAGUGGCUUCUCUUGUUGCGGAGCAAGGGCUUUAGGCACAUGGGCUUCAGCAGUUGUGGCUCAUGGGCUCUAGAGUGCAGGCUCAGUAGUUGUGGCACAUGGGCUUAGUUGCUCCGCGGCAUGUGGGAUCUUCCUGGGCCAGGGCUCGAACUCAUGUCCCCUGCACUGGCAGGCGGAUUCUUAACCACUGCGCCACCAGGGAAGUCCUUGCUUCAUGUACUUUAAAUGUGUUAGUAGUACACAUGCAUAAACGAUUGGACCAUUUAGCACAAGGUCAUGGGUAACUUGGACAAGAGGUUUUGAUAGACUAGAAGGAGGCAAAAGCUUGACUGGAGUGGAUUCAAGAAAAUGGGAAGAAUGAAACAAUACAAGAAAUUUUACUGUGAAGGAAAAGAAGCAGGGUGCUUAAGGCAAAAGAAAGUUUUUAGAUAAAAAACAUACUAUUUUUUCUCUAAUGAAGAUCCAGUAGAGAUGGGAGACUGAUAAGCAGGAAAGAUGUUGGGGCUUACUAGACAAGGAGCAGCUGGGUUUUGCUGGGAGCAAGAAGAGUCCAUUUCACAGCACCAGGGGAGACGG